rnacentral:rRNA from 1 species
UGCAGUCGAGCGGAUGACGGGAGCUUGCUCCUUGAUUCAGCGGCGGACGGGUGAGUAAUGCCUAGGAAUCUGCCUGGUAGUGGGGGACAACGUUUCGAAAGGAACGCUAAUACCGCAUACGUCCUACGGGAGAAAGCAGGGGACCUUCGGGCCUUGCGCUAUCAGAUGAGCCUAGGUCGGAUUAGCUAGUAGGUGAGGUAAUGGCUCACCUAGGCGACGAUCCGUAACUGGUCUGAGAGGAUGAUCAGUCACACUGGAACUGAGACACGGUCCAGACUCCUACGGGAGGCAGCAGUGGGGAAUAUUGGACAAUGGGCGAAAGCCUGAUCCAGCCAUGCCGCGUGUGUGAAGAAGGUCUUCGGAUUGUAAAGCACUUUAAGUUGGGAGGAAGGGCAGUAAGCUAAUACCUUGCUGUUUUGACGUUACCGACAGAAUAAGCACCGGCUAACUCUGUGCCAGCAGCCGCGGUAAUACAGAGGGUGCAAGCGUUAAUCGGAA